rnacentral:rRNA from 1 species
AUGGCAUUGGCUUCUCUUCUAAUGCUUGUGUCUCGGGAGAUUUGGAACAAGAGGAAUUGUAGAGUUUUUCAAAAAAUUGCUUCUAUGCCGACAAUUGUAGUUGAUAAUAUCAAAAGAGAGGCUAGGUUGUGGUGUAUCACCAGGGCGAAACACUUAGGAGCAAUUAUACCUGGAGAGUAG